rnacentral:rRNA from 1 species
GAUUUCUGACUUGAAUCAGUUGACCCGACCAGGUUACUGGUUGUGUGUUGAUUUUUAGAUUCUGUCAUCCUUGUAUGAUAGGUGUUUUUCAUUAAACAUCUAUGAUGCAUCUUUUACUUUGAACAAAUUAGAGUGUUUCAAGCAGGCAGUUAUCGCUUUGAAUACAUUAGCAUGGAAUAAUCGUUUAGGGCUUCGGUUCUAUUUCGUUGGUUUCGAGAGCUGAAGUAAUGAUUGAUAGGGAUAGUUGGGGGUGCUAGUAUUCAGAGGCCAGAGGUGAAAUUCUUGGAUUCUCUGAAGACUAACUUAUGCGAAAGCAUU